rnacentral:sRNA from 1 species
CGCUCUACCUCUCCUCCAUCAUUUGUCUGACUGACAACGAACCCCAUCCAUUCAUCCAUGGGGCGAGAAGGCACUUCAUAAAGCAGGUUAAAGAAACCGGAGACGAAAGAAGGGACACGCAGGGAUUGAAGAUAUCAAAAUCACACCCGCGUCGUAUUCAUCAGAAGAAGCAACGAAUAGGAAUGCGUGUGCGUGGGAAGGAAAAUAGGAAAACGUGCACAUUAACAUAAACAGCUGCCAUUCACUUCAGGGGGAUUAGCAUCAACAUCAACAGC